ACACUAUCAUUAACUGAAUCCAUAGGUUAAUGAGGCGAACCGGGGGAACUGAAACAUCUAAGUACCCCGAGGAAAAGAAAUCAACCGAGAUUCCCCCAGUAGCGGCGAGCGAACGGGGAGGAGCCCAGAGCCUGAAUCAGCAUGUGUGUUAGUGGAAGCGUCUGGAAAGGCGCGCGAUACAGGGUGACAGCCCCGUACACAAAAGCGCAUGUGCUGUGAGCUCGAUGAGUAGGGCGGGACACGUGGUAUCCUGUCUGAAUAUGGGGGGACCAUCCUCCAAGGCUAAAUACUCCUGACUGACCGAUAGUGAACCAGUACCGUGAGGGAAAGGCGAAAAGAACCCCGGCGAGGGGAGUGAAAAAGAACCUGAAACCGUGUACGUACAAGCAGUGGGAGCCCCACCACCAAAGCAUUCUCUGGUGUUGAAGGCCCUGCAAAGCAGCAUCGCGGUGGCGGAGCGUCGUUUGCGACGCCCAACACACAAAACAAGCGGUGAGUGCUUUGGGGUGGGGUGACUGCGUACCUUUUGUAUAAUGGGUCAGCGACUUAUAUUCUGUAGCAAGGUUAACCGAAUAGGGGAGCCGGAGGGAAACCGAGUCUUAAUUGGGCGUUAAGUUGCAGGGUAUAGACCCGAAACCCGGUGAUCUAGCCAUGGGCAGGUUGAAGGUUGGGUAACACUAACUGGAGGACCGAACCGACUAAUGUUGAAAAAUUAGCGGAUGACCUGUGGCUGGGGGUGAAAGGCCAAUCAAACCGGGAGAUAGCUGGUUCUCCCCGAAAGCUAUUUAGGUAGCGCCUCGUGAAUUCAUCUCCGGGGGUAGAGCACUGUUUCGGCUAGGGGGCCAUCCCGGCUUACCAACCCGAUGCAAACUGCGAAUACCGGAGAAUGUUAUCACGGGAGACACACGGCGGGUGCUAACGUCCGUCGUGAAGAGGGAAACAACCCAGACCGCCAGCUAAGGUCCCAAAGUCAUGGUUAAGUGGGAAACGAUGUGGGAAGGCCCAGACAGCCAGGAUGUUGGCUUAGAAGCAGCCAUCAUUUAAAGAAAGCGUAAUAGCUCACUGGUCGAGUCGGCCUGCGCGGAAGAUGUAACGGGGCUAAACCAU
rnacentral:rRNA from 1 species